rnacentral:rRNA from 1 species
GACGAACGCUGGCGGCGUGCUUAACACAUGCAAGUCGAACGAAGUGGCGCACGGGUGAGUAACGCGUAAUCAACUUGCCCUUCAGUGGGGGACAACAGUUGGAAACGACUGCUAAUACCGCAUACUGAAGGAGGGGGUUGGGUCUGAUUAGCUAGUUGGAGAGGUAACGGCUCACCAAGGCGAUGAUCGGUAGCCGGCCUGGGAGGGUGAUCGGCCACAAGGGGCUAGGGACACGGCCCUUACUCAUACGGGAGGCAGCAGUGGGGAAUAUUGGACAAUGGACCAAAGUCUGAUCCAGCAAUUCUGUGUGCAAGAUGAAGUUUUUCGGAAUGUAAAGUGCUUUCAGUUGGGAAGCGGUACCAACAGAAGAAGUGACGGCUAAAUACGUGCCAGCAGCCGCGGUAAUAC